rnacentral:lncRNA from 1 species
GCCACUACCCUACUCCACUCUCUGCAAUGGAUUCUACAUGGCUCCACCACUCUCUGACAAGUCACGACAAUAGACACCACUCCACUCUCUGUAACAAAUUUCACAUGGCCCUGAAUGACCCCUGAUGCCACUACUCUCUAUAACAAACUCCGGGCGGCUUUGAAUAGCCCACUACCAGGCGGUUACAGACGUUGUUAUCAAUCAGUUACGCUCUCCGUCUAUAAAAAGGGACCCC